rnacentral:rRNA from 1 species
AACGAACGCUGGCGGCAGGCCUAACACAUGCAAGUCGAACGCUCCGCAAGGGGAGUGGCAGACGGGUGAGUAACACGUGGGAAUCUUCCUAUUGGUACGGAAUAGCUCAGGGAAACUUGGGGUAAUACCGUAUACGCCCUUCGGGGGAAAGAUUUAUCGCCGAUAGAUGAGCCCGCGUCUGAUUAGCUAGUUGGUGAGGUAAUGGCUCACCAAGGCGACGAUCAGUAGCUGGUCUGAGAGGAUGACCAGCCACACUGGGACUGAGACACGGCCCAGACUUCUACGGGAGGCAGCAGUGGGGAAUAUUGGACAAUGGGCGCAAGCCUGAUCCAGCCAUGCCGCGUGAGUGACGAAGGUCUUCGGAUUGUAAAGCUCUUUUGGCGGGGACGAUAAUGACGGUACCCGCAGAAUAAGCCCCGGCUAACUUCGUGCCAGCAGCCGCCGCGGUAA